AAUGGGCGCAAGCCUGAUCCAGCAAUGCCGCGUGAGUGAAGAAGGCCUUCGGGUUGUAAAGCUCUUUUGUCAGGGAAGAAACGGGCGUGGCUAAUAUCCAUGUCUAAUGACGGUACCUGAAGAAUAAGCACCGGCUAACUACGUGCCAGCAGCCGCGGUAAUACGUAGGGUGCAAGCGUUAAUCGGAAUUACUGGGCGUAAAGCGUGCGCAGGCGGUUUUGUAAGUCUGUCGUGAAAUCCCCGGGCUCAACCUGGGAAUGGCGAUGGAGACUGCAAGGCUAGAAUCUGGCAGAGGGGGGUAGAAUUCCACGUGUAGCAGUGAAAUGCGUAGAGAUGUGGAGGAACACCGAUGGCGAAGGCAGCCCCCUGGGUCAAGAUUGACGCUCAUGCACGAAAGCGUGGGGAGCAAACAGGAUUAGAUACCCUGGUAGUCCACGCCCUAAACGAUGUCUACUAGUUGUCGGGUCUUAAUUGACUUGGUAACGCAGCUAACGCGUGAAGUAGACCGCCUGGGGGAGUA
rnacentral:rRNA from 1 species